GACGAACGCUGGCGGCGUGCUUAACACAUGCAAGUCGAACGGAAAGGCCCUGCUUUUGUGGGGUGCUCGAUUGGCGAACGCGUGAGUAACACGUGAGUAACCUGCCCUUGACUUUGGUAUAACUUCAGGAAACUGGGGCUAAUAUCGUAUAGGAUCUCCUGCUGCAUGGUGGGGGUUGGAAAGUUUCGGCUGUUGGGGCUGGACUCGCGGCUUAUCAGCUUGUUGGUUGGGUAGUGGCUUACCAAGGCUUUGACGGGUAGCCCGCCUGGGAGGGUGGACGGCGACAAUGGGACUGCGAUACGGAGCAGACUGCAACGGGAGGCAGCAGUGGCGAGUAUUACCCAGUGGGACGAAGCCUGAUGAGGAAGCGUCGCGUGCGUGAUGACGGCCUUCGGGUUGAGAAAAGCAUCCGCUUGUGACGCAGCGUGAGUGACGGUAAUGGAUAAAGAAGCACCGGCUAACUACGUG
rnacentral:rRNA from 1 species